rnacentral:rRNA from 1 species
AACUUCUGAAUGUUGACCUCGAAUCAGGUAGGAAUACCCGCUGAACUUAAGCAUAUCAAAAGCGGAGGA